rnacentral:tRNA from 1 species
GGGCCCGUGGUCUAGGGGUUUAUGACAACGCCCUUACAAGGCGUGGAUCACCGGUUCAAAUCCGGUCGGGCCCACCA